rnacentral:misc_RNA from 1 species
GGGAAAUCUGAAGAAGAUUCUAUAACUCUGAGACAGAACAAUAUCUUGAGGAGUUCUGAGAAGAUUAUUAGCAGCAACUGUGAUAAAAGUAGAAAAUGUGGUUCCGAAUCAUUUGGUCAAAGUGCAGGUCAUGGAAACAAGGAUAAGAGUUAUAUCAUGGGCAAGCCAGUGGGUGGACAGCAAGAAACUGAUCAUGAUUCACCUUUGUGCACAAAAGAAAACUAUGAGAAGGAGGCACACACAACUAAUGGAAUGGUUAAAGCUGAAGUCUCUAAUGUUAAUUUAACUCAACAGACUAACGGAAGUGACAUAAAAAUAAAUCUUCUGUACCCACAAUUAGCUGAAAAUAUAGAUUGUGCAACUCAGUCAUCUCAAAAUGCAGAAGGAAGUAUAUGCCACCAAAAUCAAGAAAAA